CAGAGAGAGAGAGAGUGAGAGGGGGAAAUGGAUGGGAUGAAAAAAAAGAAACGAAGAGGUUUAGGGCUGCCUGCCAAAUCGUGAGACAAAAAAAGGAAAAAGAAAAAUGCUUCACCAAGAGAAUUGUGACACGCUACUCUCCUCCUCUGACAGCGAGAGAGACUGAGAUGUGGGACACAUGAUAUAGGACACCUUGCCUUCACACUGAUAUUCUGUCUUAUCUACAAAGAUGUUCCCUCCCCUGGACUUAAUAGGCUGACACAUAAACAUGACAAUCAUACUGUAUGUCGCCUGUCAGCGGGGGCUUCACACCAAGGUGAUAUGCAAAUAAAACAGCACGCUCUCAUCAUUUGUAGUCUGUCAGCUGGGGUGUAAUUAAUCCGGGACUGAUUUUCUGUCACUACCUAUGUCAAUAAUUCAACAUUUCUAUUAUUGUACCUUCUAAAUAAAUCCCAAAUAAAAAGCUGCUAUUUCUUAA